CAUCUCAAGGUCACACCUGGAGAGUUUCCAGUACUCUACCAGUCUUGACUACAGGAGAGAGAGUCAAGCAGAGGCAUACCAAUUCCAUUCCUAGCUGUGGCAGUUGCUAGUGAUUGGAAGGCAAUCUGCUACAAGU